CUUUAGAACACAAGCCUUUCCAGGGUUAUUAACCAUGCUAUAUAGUCAGCUCUGACUAACAGUUAUCAGUGUGAUGGCUUUCGCACUGUUGAACAAGGAGAUCCUUCCUCCAGAUGUGAUAGAGACAAGAUGACUUGGGGUGUGGAAGCCAAAAAGCUAUGGCAGAACCAUCCUGAUCCCUUGAUGGCAAGCAGUCUAUCCAGAAAGAAAGUUGUGGAUGCCUGACAGAAACCUGUUGCUGUCCACAACAUACGACAGGAAAGAGCAGGAAGGAGCUCAUGACAGAGACACAAAAAGGAUCCGAGAACUGCUCCUUGAAGACUGCUGACUGUUAGGUUUCUGUAGCUGGAGCAAAGACUGGAUGAAAUUUAGUGCACUCUUUCGUUGAGAAUGAGUUUAUUUAUAUUUAAAAAUAUUUACUCAUUUUUUCUGGAGAUUAUGAAGUCAUCAUAAAACUGAACACAGAUGUUGCACACCAAGAUGAUGUGGGAGAGGCAUUGUAGUAAGCUGGCUGUACUAUGAGCUUGGAGUGCUCUAAAGGUCCUUGGUAUUGGCUUCUAACGUGAGACUGGAUUCUGAAAUGAUAAGAGGAAGGGCAGACAGAGUUGAUGAGCAUAUUGGAUUUGAUAGAGCUGCAGAAGUCCAGAAGCAUUUAAUUGCCAAGCUGUGGAAAAUCUGUUAUGCUGUGCUAAUAGGGCCCUGUUGGGAAAAUCAGAAACUCUGAAAUGUGAAGUGGGGAAAUUUGGGUGAGUGGUUCUGGGGAUCUUUGUUCUGAAGCCUCACAGUUUGGA
ensembl:lncRNA